ACGCUGGCGGCGUGCCUAAUACAUGCAAGUCGAGCGAAGUUUUUCUGGUGCUUGCACCGGAAAAACUUAGCGGCGAACGGGUGAGUAACACGCAAAGAACCUGCCUCAUAGACUGGGACAACUAUUGGAAACGAUAGCUAAUACCGGAUAACAGCAUUAACUGCAUGGUUGAUGUUUAAAAGUUGGUUUUGCUAACACUAUGAGAUGGCUUUGCGGUGCAUUAGCUAGUUGGUGGGGUAAAGGCCUACCAAGGCGACGAUGCAUAGCCGACCUGAGAGGGUGAUCGGCCACACUGGGACUGAGACACGGCCCAGACUCCUACGGGAGGCAGCAGUAGGGAAUCUUCCGCAAUGGGCGAAAGCCUGACGGAGCAACGCCGCGUGAGUGAAGAAGGAUUUCGGUUCGUAAAGCUCUGUUGUUAGGGAAGAAUGAUUGUGUAGUAACUAUACACAGUAGAGACGGUACCUAACCAGAAAGCCACGGCUAACUACGUGCCAGCAGCCGCGGUAAUACGUAGGUGGCAAGCGUUGUCCGGAAUUAUUGGGCGUAAAGCGCGCGCAGGUGGUUUAAUAAGUCUGAUGUGAAAGCCCACGGCUCAACCGUGGAGGGUCAUUGGAAACUGUUAAACUUGAGUGCAGGAGAGAAAAGUGGAAUUCCUAGUGUAGCGGUGAAAUGCGUAGAGAUUAGGAGGAACACCAGUGGCGAAGGCGGCUUUUUGGCCUGUAACUGACACUGAGGCGCGAAAGCGUGGGGAGCAAACAGGAUUAGAUACCCUGGUAGUCCACGCCGUAAACGAUGAGUGCUAAGUGUUGGUCUCAUAAGAGAUCAGUGCUGCAGCUAACGCAUUAAGCACUCCGCCUGGGGAGUACGACCGCAAGGUUGAAACUCAAAGGAAUUGACGGGGACCCGC
rnacentral:rRNA from 1 species